rnacentral:rRNA from 1 species
UACGUAGGGUGCAAGCGUUGUCCGGAAUUAUUGGGCGUAAAGAGCUCGUAGGCGGUUUGUCGCGUCGAAUGUGAAAUCCCGGGGCUCAACCCCGGGCCUGCAUUCGAUACGGGCAGACUAGAGCUCGGUAGGGGAGUCUGGAAUUCCUGGUGUAGCGGUGAAAUGCGCAGAUAUCAGGAGGAACACCGGUGGCGAAGGCGGGACUCUGGGCCGAUACUGACGCUGAGGAGCGAAAGCGUGGGGAGCGAACAGG